UUUUAAGUAUAAUUAAACCUCAUGUAAUAUUUGGGGCAUACUUAUACUAAAG
rnacentral:pre_miRNA from 1 species